UACGAAGGGGGCUAGCGUUGUUCGGAAUUACUGGGCGUAAAGCGCGCGCAGGCGGCUAUCCAAGUCAGUGGUGAAAGCCCGGAGCUCAACUCCGGAACUGCCAUUGAAACUGUUUAGCUUGAGGACGAGAGAGGUGAGUGGAAUUCCCAGUGUAGAGGUGAAAUUCGUAGAUAUUGGGAAGAACACCGGUGGCGAAGGCGGCGACCUGGUCCAAGACUGACGCUGAGGCGCGAAAGCGUGGGGAGCAAACAGG
rnacentral:rRNA from 1 species